CCAGACUCUGCCUCUGGAGCCAGGGUCCCUCCCUGCUCUGGCCCCGAAAGAUCCUUCAGGAAACGGAGGAAGUAUGGACACACAGCCCAGGCAUUUGGGGGUACAGGCAAAGGAAUGCUCCAGCACGGAAGCAACCAGCUUGGGGAGCGUCUCCUGUUAGCUGGGCUUGUGGCAAAGACUCUACCCCAAAUCCUGCUGCUUCUGAACAUAUCCGCAAAAGGGAAGAGGCCAGUUUCACGAUUAUCUUUUCACGGAGAGGAAGAUGGGGCAUGAGCAGUCAUGUGCCACAGGCUAUGUGAAGGGGACUCCUGUCUAAUUGUUGCGACUCCAGCGAUGCAAGGGUCGCCUGGCCGCCCGCUGGGCGUGGAACUGGACGGCGGGCUGGCUGUUCAGCGUGAGCUUCCUCCCGUCCAGCUGCACUGCCCCCAGGCCUGUGGUCACAAGUCUGUCGAAUGUCAGGUCA